AUGGAGGACAAGGGGACAGCAGCUGCAGCGGCGCCUUCGGAGAAGGAGGCGCAGGCGGUGGCGGCGACGUCGUGCUUCAAGAGGACGGUGGGCGAGGACGCGUCGCUGUUGGAGCUGGCCAAGGACCAGUACCGGCAGUUCGCGGAGGCGCAGGGUCGGGACCACUGGGAGUGCAUCAAGAACAAGGUCAGCUCCAUGUUCGCCGACCCCAUCCUCGGCGGAGGCGCCAAGGACCACGGCUCAACCAACACGACGCCGCCCGUCGAGUCGCAGUAG
rnacentral:rRNA from 1 species